rnacentral:lncRNA from 1 species
AUGGCACCCGUGAAAAAGCUUGUGAUGAAGGGGGGCAAAAAAAAGAAGCAGAUUCUGAAAUUCACUCUUGAUUGCACCCACCCCAUAAAAGAUGGAAUCAUGGAUGCUGCCAAUUUUGAGCAGUUUUUGCAAGAAAGCAUCAAAGUGAUCAGAAAAGCUGAGAAACUUGGUAAGGGGCAGUGACCAUCGAAAGGAGCAAGAGAAAUAUCACCGUGACAUCCCAGGUGCCUUUUUCCAAAAGGUAUUUGAAAUAUCUUACCAAAAAAUAUUUGAAGAAGAAUAAUCUAUGUGAUUGGUUGCACGUAGUUGCUAAGAGAGUUAUGAAUUCCGUUACUUCCAAAUUAACCAGGAUGAAGAAGAGGAGGAAGAUGAGGAUUAA